rnacentral:rRNA from 1 species
GAUGAACGCUGGCGGCGUGCCUAAUACAUGCAAGUCGAGCGAACAGACGAGGAGCUUGCUCCUCUGACGUUAGCGGCGGACGGGUGAGUAACACGUGGAUAACCUACCUAUAAGACUGGGAUAACUUCGGGAAACCGGAGCUAAUACCGGAUAAUAUAUUGAACCGCAUGGUUCAAUAGUGAAAGACGGUUUUGCUGUCACUUAUAGAUGGAUCCGCGCCGCAUUAGCUAGUUGGUAAGGUAACGGCUUACCAAGGCGACGAUGCGUAGCCGACCUGAGAGGGUGAUCGGCCACACUGGAACUGAGACACGGUCCAGACUCCUACGGAAGGCAGCAGUAGGGAAUCUUCCGCAAUGGGCGAAAGCCUGACGGAGCAACGCCGCGUGAGUGAUGAAGGUCUUCGGAUCGUAAAACUCUGUUAUUAGGGAAGAACAAAUGUGUAAGUAACUAUGCACGUCUUGACGGUACCUAAUCAGAAAGCCACGGCUAACUACGUG